rnacentral:rRNA from 1 species
CCACAUUGGGACUGAGAUACGGCCCAGACUCCUACGGGAGGCAGCAGUGGGGAAUAUUGCACAAUGGGCGCAAGCCUGAUGCAGCGACGCCGCGUGCGGGAUGACGGCCUUCGGGUUGUAAACCGCUUUUGAUCGGGAGCAAGCCUUCGGGUGAGUGUACCUUUCGAAUAAGCACCGGCUAACUACGUGCCAGCAGCCGCGGUAAUACGUAGGGUGCAAGCGUUAUCCGGAAUUAUUGGGCGUAAAGGGCUCGUAGGCGGUUCGUCGCGUCCGGUGUGAAAGUCCAUCGCUUAACGGUGGAUCUGCGCCGGGUACGGGCGGGCUGGAGUGCGGUAGGGGAGACUGGAAUUCCCGGUGUAACGGUGGAAUGUGUAGAUAUCGGGAAGAACACCAAUGGCGAAGGCAGGUCUCUGGGCCGUUACUGACGCUGAGGAGCGAAAGCGUGGGGAGCGAACAGGAUUAGAUACCCUGGUAGUCCACGCCGUAAACGGUGGAUGCUGGAUGUGGGGCCCGUUCCACGGGUUCCGUGUCGGAGCUAACGCGUUAAGCAUCCCGCCUGGGGAGUACGGCCGCAAGGCUAAAACUCAAAGAAAUUGACGGGGGCCCGCACAAGCGGCGGAGCAUGCGGAUUAAUUCGAUGCAACGCGAAGAACCUUACCUGGGCUUGACAUGUUCCCGACAGCCGUAGAGAUAUGGCCUCCCUUCGGGGCGGGUUCACAGGUGGUGCAUGGUCGUCGUCAGCUCGUGUCGUGAGAUGUUGGGUUAAGUCCCGCAACGAGCGCAACCCUCGCCCUGUGUUGCCAGCACAUGAUGGUGGGAACUCACGGGGGACCGCCGGGGUCAACUCGGAGGAAGGUGGGGAUGACGUCAGAUCAUCAUGCCCCUUACGUCCAGGGCUUCACGCAUGCUACAAUGGCCGGUACAACGGGAUGCGACACGGCGACGUGGAGCGGAUCCCUGAAAACCGGUCUCAGUUCGGAUUGGAGUCUGCAACCCGACUCCAUGAAGGCGGAGUCGCUAGUAAUCGCGGAUCAGCAACGCCGCGGUGAAUGCGUUCCCGGGCCUUGUACACACCGCCCGUCAAGUCAUGAAAGUGGGUAGCACCCGAAGCCGGUGGCCUAACCCUUUGUGGAUGGAGCCGUCUAAGGUGAGACUCGUGAUUGGGACUAAGUCGUAACAAGGUAGCCGUACCGGAAGGUGCGGCUG